rnacentral:rRNA from 1 species
UGGGGAAUAUUGCACAAUGGGCGCAAGCCUGAUGCAGCAACGCCGCGUGAGGGACGACGGCCUUCGGGUUGUAAACCUCUUUUAGCAGGGAAGAAGCGAAAGUGACGGUACCUGCAGAAAAAGCGCCGGCUAACUACGUGCCAGCAGCCGCGGUAAUACGUAGGGCGCAAGCGUUAUCCGGAAUUAUUGGGCGUAAAGAGCUCGUAGGCGGUCUGUCGCGUCUGCUGUGAAAACCCGGGCU